UGAUAUAAGCUUUAAUCUGUGUC
rnacentral:snRNA from 1 species